ensembl:lncRNA
UCUUCCGGGUGUUGGCUGCUGGUAGCUCCUCAUAAACAUCCAAAUACCAAUUACCCAAAAUUUGCUUAUCAUCCACCAGCAAGUGUUGGCUAAUUUGAAGCCAUAACAUUUUCUAUAUGGAAGUUUUUUUGUUUGCCUGUAGAUAGCUGCUGUUUUAGCCUGGUUGAGAUCUCCAUGUGUUUGUAGUUUCCCUGUUGUCCCUUUUGCCCAGCCUGACACAGAAGUUGCCUGGGGCUUGCAGUCCUCACUGUGUCAGCAGCGCAUUGUCCCUGUAUCAGCAGGAGCCUGCAGGCUUGUGGCACAUGCUGUGCAGUGCUCAGAAGACUAGUGCUGAGUGCUUACAGGCGGUGCGAUGCUAUUUCUGCCUGGCAACAGGAGGAAGACCUGUCCUUCAGUGACAAAUAAGAAGCUAAGCCUUUUGACUCAGCAACACAGGAUGCAGAAGGGAAAUCCUGAUGUUAGGUCAGAGCUGAGGACUCUGGAGCAGCAGUUGGUGCUCAUCUGCAAAAUCUCACUGCCCUGGAGCCAGCCCUACCCCUACCACUGUGAUGGCUGAACAAUUGAGAGAAGAAAUGCUGCCUAACACCCCUAUGCCCUGGGCGCUGCUCCCAACCAUGUCUGUGAACAGCAAUGUGGCAGGAGUUCCUUUGGAGGCUCAGUGACAGCCAGUCCUUGUUAGACCUGGGCAAGGUUUACCAUCAGCUGGUUGCCCGCUGCUGUGACCUGUGUCUAGUCUUGUGUCUUGUAGUUUAUUGCUCGGCUCCUCACCUUGAGUUCUGUGUACUGAAUCCACCUAAUCACAGUAGAAGGUUUGCCCAUCUUUUAGCCAUGACUUUGCCAUGUUUUUCCAGCUCCAAAAAAGCAAAUGCUGGAAAACUGCAUCUUCCAAUACGUUGGAUAAUCACACACCUGGAAUUAACUUUCACACUGAGGACUGCAGCAGAGACAGAGAGUGCGAGAUGUGCUGGAAGGACUGCGUGGGCAUUGGGGCAGCCCCUUCUCUGUAGCACUCCCAGGCACAUAUUCAUUCAUGCGUUCACUUACUUGCACUCACCCAUGCAUGCUCCACUGCCUGCCACGGCCCUGUGAUCACUGUGUAUGCAUAGCAGGAUGCUCUGCUGGAACCCCAGCUCUGUCUCCUGGGAGACUUGGCUGGCCUGCAGGAAAUGCAGAGCAGGGUGCUGUUGUGAGGGUCUUUGUGUUCCCAUCUUUGGAGUUGCCUUCAUCAGAGACCAGGGCUUCCUCUGAUUUGUCUGCUGGAGCCUUGUUUGCAGAGCACAGUCCGGGGCUGGAGGUGCAGAGGGUGUGCUGUGGAUGGCGGUGACAUCACCUUCCCACGCAUAAUCUCCCUACUUUCUGCAGGAGCCACCUUGAAGCUCCCCUUGGCUCAGUCCCCCUUCCCGGUGGCCUGGGUGGGCAGAGUGCACCUGCCUCACUUGGCAGCCAUGGCAUAGGGGCUGAGCAGAACUCCACUGGGGAGGAUGAAGGUUUGCCUGAGGGCUGCAGGGGUGGCUUUGACAGUGUGGGUACUUAGCAGGGAAGCCUACUCUGAGGCAAGGUGCUGUGACAGCCAUGCAAACCUUGAUGAGAUAGCAAGGAUUUUGCUAAGUGGAAAGCAGAGCUUCUUCUGCAGUGAAGGAAAGUUCCUCUUACUUUCUUCUUGUCACCAUUCAGCAGGCUGGCUGCAGGUAGCUGUGGGAAGAACAAUCGCAACUCUUUGGGGAAGGUCUGCCAGCUCUGAGCCAAGCCAUUCCCAGGCUGUCUGGGCCAAAUGUAGGUGUAAGGGCAGUUAGGUUAGCAGCUGCUAUAAAACUGGGGCAGGAGGAAUUAGGAAUUAGUGGAAGAGGCUCCAUAAAGCAGAGAGGUCAUACAGGUCUGGACUGACUCUGAACACAGCAGAGCCUUCUGUGGCACUGGUGAAGGGGAAUCUGAGCAAGGUGCUCCUCUAAGCCCUUUGAGCAGAGCUUGUCAGAAAGGUGCCAUCUGCCCACUUAGUUCUCUCUGAUGCAUCUUCCUUGAAUAAAGUGACACAGUUACAGACA